AUUGAACGCUGGCGGCAGGCCUAACACAUGCAAGUCGAGCGAGCGGCGGACGGGUGAGUAAUGUAUGGGGAUCUGCCCGAUAGAGGGGGAUAACUACUGGAAACGGUGGCUAAUACCGCAUACUCUCCGCUGAACCCAGAUGGGAUUAGCUAGUAGGUGGGGUAAAGGCUCACCUCGGCGACGAGAUCUAGCUGGUCUGAGAGGAUGAGCAGCCACACUGGGACUGAGACACGGCCCAGGCUCCUACGGGAGGCAGCAGUGGGGAAUAGUGCACAAUGGGCGCAAGCCUGAUGCAGCCAUGCCGCGUGUAUGAAGAAGGCCUUAGGUUUGUAAAGUACUUUCAGCGGGGAGGCGUUACCCGCAGAAGAAGCACCGGCUAACUCCGUGCCAGCAGCCGCGGUAAUAC
rnacentral:rRNA from 1 species